rnacentral:rRNA from 1 species
UACGAAGGGUGCAAGCGUUAAUCGGGAUUACUGGGCGUAAAGGGUGCGUAGGCGGUUCGUUAAGUCUGUCGUGAAAUCCCCGGGCUCAACCUGGGAAUGGCGAUGGAUACUGGCGAGCUAGAGUGUGUCAGAGGAUGGUGGAAUUCCCGGUGUAGCGGUGAAAUGCGUAGAGAUCGGGAGGAACAUCAGUGGCGAAGGCGGCCAUCUGGGACAACACUGACGCUGAAGCACGAAAGCGUGGGGAGCAAACAGG